rnacentral:lncRNA from 1 species
AUUCUUUAAAGGCCCCAGUAUUCUAAUCUGCUGUCAAGAUUGAGAAGUAGUGCUUUAGAAUCACCCAAGGAGCUUUUUAAAAAUGUGAACAGCACUUCCACUGGAACCCUUCCCUCUCCCUCUUCGUGAAGAUGCCCGAGGGCAGUGAUUAUUGGAAUCAGAGCCAGAUCGGCCCCCCAGCCUGGUUCACUAGCCAGAGCAGACUCCAAAAGUGGAAUUGCUGCGUCAAGAGGAAUUGGCUUAUAAAUUUAGACAGAUACUGACCAAAAAAUUCUUUGAAGUGCAUCCCAGUUUGCAUUCCUAACUGUGGGGAAGAGAGUUUUUUUCAUCACACUUUCACCCACACAGGUAAAUCUUUAAAAUUUUUGCUAUCGAAGAAUGGAUAAAUGGGAUCCCACUGUAGCUUUCAUUCGUAUUUCCCUGAUGAGUAGCGAGGUUGAAUCCUUUUCAUUCAUUUAUUUAAAAAUAUUUACAAUUCACCUGAUUUGCCAGAUUAUACUUAUUGGGGGUAAAUCCUUAGACUUAGUAAGCCUCAGUUUCCUCCUUUAUAAAAUGGCGCUAUAAUAUCUCCCAAGGUUGUGAGGAUUAGAUACGAUUUCAUGAAUAUACAGCGCCUAGUAUAGGACUUGGUAUGCAGCACGCGUUCCAGAAAUGUUUGCCUUUGAAACCCACGAAGGAGCCCACCCUCCUGCCGCCCAGCAGCCCUGAGCCCCGGGCGGUUCAUUCAACUGGAGGGCGAGGGCGGGCGGUGGGUGGUAAUUAAGGCCCGGCGGU